rnacentral:rRNA from 1 species
AACGAACGCUGGCGGCAGGCUUAACACAUGCAAGUCGAGCGCCCCGCAAGGGGAGCGGCAGACGGGUGAGUAACGCGUGGGAAUCUACCCAUCUCUACGGAAUAACGCAUGGAAACGUGUGCUAAUACCGUAUACGUCCUUCGGGAGAAAGAUUUAUCGGAGAUGGAGGAGCCCGCGUUGGAUUAGCUAGUGGGUGGGGUAAAGGCCGACCAAGGCGACGAUCCAUAGCUGGACUGAGAGGAUGAUCAGCCACACUGGGACUGAGACACGGCCCAGACUCCUACGGGAGGCAGCAGUGGGGAAUAUUGGACAAUGGGCGCAAGCCUGAUCCAGCCAUGCCGCGUGAGUGAUGAAGGCCCUAGGGUUGUAAAGCUCUUUCACCGGUGAAGAUAAUGACGGUAACCGGAGAAGAAGCCCCGGCUAACUUCGUGCCAGCCGCCGCGGUAACAC